rnacentral:rRNA from 1 species
UACUCGAGCGGCGAACGGGUGAGUAACACGUGAGCAACCUGCCCCAAGCUUUGGGAUAACCCUCGGAAACGGGGGCUAAUACCGAAUAUUACUGCUGGUCGCAUGGCUGGUGGUGGAAAGUUUUUCGGCUUGGGAUGGGCUCGCGGCCUAUCAGCUUGUUGGUGGGGUGAUGGCCUACCAAGGCGACGACGGGUAGCCGGCCUGAGAGGGCGACCGGCCACACUGGGACUGAGACACGGCCCAGACUCCUACGGGAGGCAGCAGUGGGGAAUAUUGCACAAUGGGCGGAAGCCUGAUGCAGCGACGCCGCGUGAGGGAUGACGGCCUUCGGGUUGUAAACCUCUUUCAGCAGGGACGAAGCGUAAGUGACGGUACCUGCAGAAGAAGCACCGGCCAACUACGUGCCAGCAGCCGCGGUAAGACGUAGGGUGCGAGCGUUGUCCGGAUUUAUUGGGCGUAAAGAGCUCGUAGGCGGCUUGUCGCGUCGACCGUGAAAACUUGGGGCUCAACUCCAAGCCUGCGGUCGAUACGGGCAGGCUAGAGUUCGGUAGGGGAGACUGGAAUUCCUGGUGUAGCGGUGAAAUGCGCAGAUAUCAGGAGGAACACCGGUGGCGAAGGCGGGUCUCUGGGCCGAUACUGACGCUGAGGAGCGAAAGCGUGGGGAGCGAACAGGAUUAGAUACCCUGGUAGUCCACGCUGUAAACGUUGGGCGCUAGGUGUGGGGAGCCUCUCCGGUUCUCUGUGCCGCAGCUAACGCAUUAAGCGCCCCGCCUGGGGAGUACGGCCGCAAGGCUAAAACUCAAAGGAA